rnacentral:rRNA from 1 species
CCUACGUGAGGCAGCAGUGAGGAAUAUUGGUCAAUGGGCGCGAGCCUGAACCAGCCAAGUAGCGUGAAGGCUGACUGCCCUACGGGUUGUAAACUUCUUUUAUAAAGGAAUAAAGUGAGGCACGUGUGCCUUUUUGUAUGUACUUUAUGAAUAAGGAUCGGCUAACUCCGUGCCAGCAGCCGCGGUAAUACGGAGGAUCCGAGCGUUAUCCGGAUUUAUUGGGUUUAAAGGGAGCGUAGAUGGGUUGUUAAGUCAGUUGUGAAAGGUUGCGGCUCAACCGUAAAAGUGCAAUUGAUACUGGCAGCCUUGAGUACAGGUGAGGUAGGCGGAAUGCGUGGUGUAGCGGUGAAAUGCUUAGAUAGCACGAAGAACUCCGAUUGCGAAGGCAGCUUACUAAACUGCCACUGACGUUGAUGCUCGAAAGUGUGGGUAUCAAACAGGAUUAGAUACCCUUGUAGUC